UGCAAAUGAUGCAAAACAAUAUUUGCUAUCUGAAUAUGGUGAUUACACACUUCCACCAAGAUCGCUGAUGCA